CAUUUUGUAAAAAACCAAAGAGUUGAAGAUGUGGAGUGAAUUAGCAAGCAGAUGGAGCAAGAAAGCAGGUGACGCAGCAGAGUAAAGAGCAAUGAGAUAGGGAUGCUGAGAGAUGGCUCAGGUAAGACAGUGGCUGUUCUUCCAGAGGACCCAGGUUCAGUGCCCAGUACCCAUAUGGAGACUGACCACCAUCUAUAAGUCUAGUCUCAGGAGGUCUGACACCUCCUCUGAGCUCACAGGCAUCGUCCAUGCAAGUGGUGCAUGGACAUCAUUAUACUCCAUGGUCAAAAAUGGCUCAUUUUGUGAUACUUCAAAAGAUGGAGCACAUAACAGAGCCUAAGGGAGAUGUGGAUGAGUUGAAUGGAGUCGAUGUGGAUUUCCUAACACUGUGAGUUCGCAUGACAUUUGCCAGAAGUAAAUAAAAGAAAUGGAAUAGAAAAAAAAACAAAGCAAAUAUUAAAUCUUGACCUGAAAUAUUUGAGGAAAAGUAAUUCAGUGUACCCCAACAACUGCUAAAAGCAUUCAUUAUCACUAAGGCCUUAUGUUCACACACACACUCACACACACACACACACACACACACUCACACACACAUACACACACACUCACACGCACACACUCACAUACUCACACACACUAACACACUCACACACACAUACACACACACACUCACACACUCACACACACACACACACACACAUUUUUCCAUCCUCAUAGCAACCAAUCCCCCAACUCUUUGGAUACUAACAGUGUCUCCAACAAUUCACUUAAGUCUCCCAUUAAUUACCAGGAGUUAGCAUGAGACUACAGGUUCAUAGCUCAGCUGCACAAGACCUGGCUCAUUUCAGCUGCUGGUCACCAUGUCAGAUCACCCAUGUGUCUCCAUUCUCCUCCGCAGGGCUAAGUGAUGAGUGAAAACGGAAUCGAUUUCCACUGUGCAGUAUAAGGAUUUGAGAAUUGUACCCACUGACAGAUCUACCCACCACACAUUUUUGUGUGUGGUAAGAACACUUAUGAUCUAUUCUUUUAGGAACUUUCAAUGAUAUAAUAACACAUUAUUAACUAUGGUCACCAUGCUACACAAUAGAACUCAGGGAUCUGGUCACCCUGUCCAGUUAAAACUAGACUCUUCCAGUAUCUCUGUAUUCUUCCUUCUCCUCUAGACCUUGGCAACCAUCAUUCUACAUCCGGCUUCUUGAGUUCACCCUUCUCAGUUUGCACAUAUAAGAAAGACCUUAUAGUCGGGCGUGGUGGUGCAUGCCUUUAAUCCCAGCACUUGGGAGGCAGAGGCAGGCAGAUUUCUGAGUUUGAGGCAAGGGUUAGGCAAGCCUCUACAGAGUGAGUUCCAGGAGAGCCAGGGCUACACAGAGAAACCCUGUCUCGAAAAAAAAUUUAAAAAA
rnacentral:lncRNA from 1 species